CGAAUGCCAGGUCCAAAAGUUUCCCAGCAGAACAUCGCACCACUAUAAGAUGUUACGUGACAAUAACAACAUGGACUACUACGUGAAGACAGCUGAGGAGUGGGUCGUUGCAGCAAACUAGCAGAGGUGGUUUGCGAAGUGUGUGGAAAUACUUCACUAAAGAAGAAGCUCAUACUACCAGGUCGGUCCUGAAAUACAACAAAAGUACUACUGCAGUGCAAACUCAUCUGAAAAGGAAUGCGCUAACGCUAGCAAAGGAAUGGACCAAAUACUCUGGACAGCAGCCAAUUAACAACUUCACCAAAGACAGAGAGAUGGAGGCUCCAAAUGGACAAUUUACUGAGUGAUGGAUUCCCAAAUGAAGAGGCAUCCUCUCCUCGCUUCAGCCUGUUCCUCCUGCCUGCAGAGAGAAACGUAGACCGCUGGCUGCCACGCCGGGAGCCCAUUAUGGAAUCAACCACUGCUGUUUGGAGCCCGCUGGGGGAUCUAAGUAUAUACCCAUUAUGUCAUUGCCUUAUGUGGAAAAAGAUUCUUUGUGCAUCAAUUUUUGCUUGUUUACUUCUUCCAACCUGGAACCUUUUAUUUUUCUCUUUUUAUUUUUGCAUUUACUGUCUUGUUAGCAUCCCAGCGCUGUCUACAGCUGUGAAUUUGUUUGAAAGGAUGUGCAUUGACACAUGCAUGGAGGUUAAUCGUGCCAAAUGUUGCACUCGAAGUU